UCAAACAGAGCAGUUCCAUUUGGCAGAUCAAUCAAAACCGUAACAUCAAACUUCAGCAGAAAAUUCACGAAACAAAAUUCACAGUAAUAAAACUUAGAAAAUAUCACCCAUUGCCGCUUAUACUAAACAGGGCACCGCCACAGCAAGAUGCGGCGCUAGACAUGGGCGUUCACAGAGCUGUGCUGCUGCUCCUCACUGGGUUAUUAUCGCUGCUUGGACUUGCGACUGCGUGCACGAAGAAGGUCUACAUCGCCUGCAGAAAUCCGGCGCCCUGUAGCAAGUGAUUGCGUAUCCAAUAAUGGGCAAAUUCAACUAUACUCAGCUGUAUGCAGUGCUGUUCGCGCUGUUCUCGAUGCUGAUCGCCGGCGCGUCGUGCUGCAAGAAGAGCAUCCCGUGCUCGGGGCGCGCGCCCUGCCGCCGGGGGCCCUACAGAAACUAGCGUAGCGAUUGGGAAAGCGAUGCGUACCCAAUGGGAACAUCAACAGUGCCAUGGGGAAGAUGGACGCAUGAUAUGAAAUGGCGAAUAACAUAAAAUAACAUUGCUGUCUACAACUCUCCUUUUUCUAGUAUAUGAUGUUAACACGCUGGGAGCGCCUGGCGUUCGCUAUCUUCCUGGUCGCGAGCUGGUUGCUAGAGGUGGCCGGAUGUGGCCAAAAGCGCGUCACUUGUAACCCAAAUAACCCGCCUUGCAAGAGAUAAACUGGUAACGAUCCAUUGGCUUCUGGCAAUGGACAAAGCAUUCUUCCAAGAGGUGGUGAUUCUAUUGGUGACCCUCCUGCUAUCUUACUUGGAGACCUGUCUCGGGUGCGUCCGCCACGAGUACACGACUUGCAGCGAUAACAAUCCCAGGUGCACUGAAAAGAAGUGAACUUUGUUGUAAAGUGUCGGAAACAAGAUGGUGUUUCUAAAUGAGUUCAUGUUAGUGUUCCUGCACAUCGCGGUGUCCAUGUUCGAGCUGACCCAGGGUUGCAAGCGCCGGCGACUCUGCAAUGAUCGCUUCUGCAGGCCCUGCCACAGACCCAAGACAGAUUUAGGUUACGAGAGAUCCCCCGUCAGAGUGAUCAUACGAAAGUGAUGAUGUUUCAGCAGUUGUUUCUGAUACUAAUCUACAGCUUUGGGCUAAUCGUGAAUGCUCUAGCCUGUAAGAAAGCUGUCACGCGAGAGACUUGCUGCAGAAGGCCUACCGGCGCGCCUCCGCGAUGAGGACGGCGGUGGUUCUGAUGCUGGUGCUGCAGCUCAGCACGCUGGUUUGCUACGCGGUGGGGUGCUCGCGCCGCCCGCGCACGCCCAGCUACUGUCUGCCUUGCACUUACAAAGGACCCAUCAUCGAAGUAUUAUAUCCCAAGCCGAAGAAAUAACAAGAAUCUCGCACUGGUGCGGUUAAAACUCUCUUAGCUCUCAUCAGCGACUGGUUUGUAUAAAUUUUUCGAGAUGAAGAUAUCAAAGUUGUUGGUGGUGGUGCUGCAGCUGACCGCGCUGGUGCUGGGCGUCUUCUGCUGCAAGCGCAGACAGCGCAGGCCCAGGGUGCCUUGCGCCAAUUGCAAAUACAAACAACCGGUCAUAGAAGUUAUAUAUCCGAAGCCGACAAAACCAAAACCGUAAAAGAAAAGGAAUAUUAAGUGUUUUUCUGGUUUGUAUAAAAUAAAUCUUUUUAUGUGGAA